rnacentral:rRNA from 1 species
AUUGAACGCUGGCGGCAGGCCUAACACAUGCAAGUCGAGCGGAUGAGAGGAGCUUGCUUCUCGAUUCAGCGGCGGACGGGUGAGUAAUGCCUAGGAAUCUGCCUGGUAGUGGGGGACAACGUUUCGAAAGGAACGCUAAUACCGCAUACGCCCUACGGGAGAAAGCAGGGGACCUUCGGGCCUUGCGCUAACAGAUGAGCCUAGGUCGGAUUAGCUAGUUGGUGAGGUAAUGGCUCACCAAGGCGACGAUCCGUAACUGGUCUGAGAGGAUGAUCAGUCACACUGGAACUGAGACACGGUCCAGACUCCUACGGGAGGCAGCAGGGGGGAAUAUUGGACAAUGGGCGAAAGCCUGAUUCAGCCAUGCCGCGUGUGUGAAGAAGGUCUUCGGAUUGUAAAGCACUUUAAGUUGGGAGGAAGGGUUGUAGAUUAAUACUCUGCAAUUUUGACGUUACCGACAGAAUAAGCACCGGCUAACUCUGUGCCAGCCGCCGCGGUAAUGC